rnacentral:tRNA from 1 species
GUAGAUAUAGUUUAACAAAAACAUUAGAUUGUGAUUCUAAAAAUAGGGGUUAAACUCCUCUUAUCCACC